rnacentral:misc_RNA from 1 species
UCAUUGUUGCAAGCUUGUUGGCUGUUGGCUUGUUCACAAACCACCUAAUAAGUAGUUUGUGGGCUUGUUCAGUGAGUAAUAAUUAUUUCUUAGAGGUUUCGUACUGGUAAAAUAAUACAAAUAGGAAUGGAUAAAUAUCCUAGGCUGGUAAAAUGUGAUCAUAGUGUUAAUAUCGAAAUUAAUUCAAGUCCGUUCACUUUAGGUAGAUCAUGGAAUUGUAAUUAUGUGAUACUGGCUGAAAGCAUUUCUAGAAUCCAUUGCAGCCUUGAAAGAGUUGGCAUCCAUUGGAUUUUGAAAGACACUAGCACAAAUGGAACGUAUAUAAAUGGUAUGGUAAUACAAUCCAGGGGAAGUCGUCGAUUAAUGAAUGGUGACAUUAUCAACUUUGACAGACAAAAUGAACAGUAUAUAUUUCAUUUCGUUCCGAGAUAUAAUGUUUGGUAUGAACAACAAAGUAGAGUAGCUUAUCCUCUUCCAAGUGAAAUAGAUAUUUAUCCAAAUUCUUAUUCAACUGUUACUCCAUAUACAAGUGUCCCUACAUAUAGAACAAAAUCUACAUUCAGAACAAAUCGUACAUAUAGAAUACAUCGUUCAUAUAGAACAGAGCUUGCAUAUACAGCUGUCCCCACAUAUCGAACUGAUAAUGUCCCUGGAUAUACAACGUAUCCUGAAUAUACAAAUAACGCAGUACAUACAAUGAAUCCUGAUUACACAACUCUUUGUUCGUAUUCAACUGUUCGUGAUUAUGCAUCUGAACCCGAGUAUUCCACUGGUAAUGAAAAUAUAAUUGUUCAUGAACGUUCAGUUGUUCCUACUUACAGAACUGUUCGUGAAUAUACAACGGUUCCUGCUUCUCCAACUGAUACUGCAUCUAUAGAAGACAGUCCUUCUUCAGUUCAAUUUCCGGUUAUAGUGCCUACAGAAGUAGCAAGUCCAUCAGAUACUCCUCUAGAUUGUACAAUGAAAAGGGAAAUGCCCAAAGCAACAAGUAGUUCAGAAACUGAGAAUGGGGAAGAACUCCGAAACGAAAUGCAGUGUUCCAUAUGUUCUGAAAUGUUCAUCAAGGCGACUACAUUGAACUGUUCGCACACGUUUUGCAAAUUUUGCAUUGAAACUUGGAGGAGAAAUAAAUCUGCUUGUCCAAUUUGCAGGGCAGAAAUAACAUCGAUGAAUUCAACGUUGGUUCUGGAUAAUGUCAUAGAAAUGGUUGUACAAAAUGGGUCAGAAGAAGUCAAACAACACAGAAAGGAGAUAUUGGAAGACAGACAGAAAUGUGUGGAACAAUCAAAACAUAAAAGGGGGGACUCAAGUACAGAAGAAUCAAGGAUAGAAAUGGUAUCAGAAGACUCAGACAGCGGUGAUGAAUCAGAUGGAAUGAAUUGGUUGGGGCAAAUGGCCGGUACUAACCUAGAGCGGUUGUACAUUCCAACUAUAUACUGUUUCUACUGUGAUAUAAGAGGACACUCGUCCAGCAAUUGUCCUUCUAGAGAUCUAGAUGAUGUUCAUUAUCGUGUUUUGUGUUAACAAAAUUAGAAUCCUUUUCCAGUAUUAUAAUGCAUCAGAGUAAUCACUGGUGUGGAUCUCUUUAUGUUUGAAUCUCAGUGUCUAGGAUGUCGACAAAAAAACGCACAAAAUUACAUCCAUGAAAUCAAACUGAUUUCAAAAAUACAAUGUAUUUGAUAUCGAUAUUUUGCUCAACAAAAACCAAGACUUUUAUGGGACGAUUUCAAUGACGAAUAUCAAAGGUCACGGCGAAGGGCCCAUACUAACCCAGAGCGGUCUUACAUUCGAGAAGUAGAUACUGUUACUGCUGUGGAUCAAGAGGACACUGGUCUAGAGAUUGUCCAUCUAGAUAACUAAUACAAUGGCGACGAAUACAACAGCUAAUUCGUAUUUUUGUUCAGUUAUAACAAAAUAAUAAUCUGAUUCCAGCAUCAUAAUGCAUCAGAGUAAUAUCCGGUGUGGAACUUCAUGUCUGGAUCUGAAGUAGUUGAACAUAACUAAAUUUAGGAAUAUGCAUUUCUAUAUUUUCCAGUCUGAUAAUAAAAAAUUCGACUGCUAUUUCGUAUUCUACAAUUAGUUUUAUAUGUUUUUCAAAUACAUAUUUUCCUAAAAC